UGUGCUGCAGAUUUUUGCUGAUGAUUCUCCCUCGUGCUGUGCUCCCACCCUCCAGGAAGAGUGGGAGAAACAUCUCCCACAGAGAAAGAGGAGAGAAGAGUUACCACUGGCACCUGCAAAGCUGGGAAUUACAAUAGCCAAGACAUCCUGUAGCAGCAGGGGUGAAGAAACUCUGCUGUCUCCCCACACCCAGCAGCUCCUGGGAAUUACGAUCAGAGUUUUAUAAAGACAAACUGUCAUUGCAUCACAUAUACUGAAAAACAAAUUGCAGGGAAGCUGGGCUAUGAAUUGAUUCUCAUUGAUUAAAUUCUCAUCUCGGUGUGCUGGAGUAGUGUGGAAGAUCCAAAGGAUCCUGUUGCAUGACAGGUCUACAUAAAUCCAAGGAUUUAUGUCAGUGCUUUAUGGAGCACAUCGGGAAUAUCCCGUUUUGUCUCUAUUUGAAUAUAAAACUGUGGUUUAUUUUCAAAAAAAACAUUUGUUUUUUAAAGUUUUAAAUGGCAUUAGUCAUUUAAGACUCAGGAUCAGUAGGGUAUGUAAUUAGGCUCACAAAGGUCUUUCCAAUGUCCAGAGUGAUGUUUUUUGGCAAAUAAGAUUAUAAAUGGAAUAAGGAGGUACUAAAAAAAAGCUAACUUAUCUCUCAGAAAAUUAGAUUCAUCCAGAUAGUUUAAAUGACCUAUAUGCAAACGUUUGCUAAAUGUUUGAAAUACUGUAAGGGUGUACAGGAGGGGUCACCAAAAGAAUCCCUUUCCACUUGCAUUCAGCUGCCAUGCCCAGGUAACUCACAGCCAAACAUCCAAAAUAAAACACACACAUAUCUGAAGCCUGCAACAAAGAAUGCCUAAGAGACCUCCAAGUGGGCUCUGAUGGAGACCAGAUGCACACAACAAACACCUCAAAGCUCUACCAGUAUAGGUCCAGGGGAAUAUGGCCUUCAGGAGACAGAGCAAAGCUGUGCCUUCAUGCAAUGUUUCACAUUAAGCAUGGUGUUAAUCCUCAUGAAGUCCCUUGGCUCAAACACAGCAAGGCCUAGGUGAAAAUAUAAGCUGUAUUUUUUCAUGCCAAAGUUGUACUUGUUGCAAUUGUUUCUGAGGAUGGUUUGCUAUCUUCUGUGGGAGCUGAAAGAUGCUGAUAGAUAUCAAUACCUGCAGGAUUUUGUCAGAGCUUGAUCCGGUGCUGCCUCCCUUCACAUGUUGAUGGAUACUUUCCAUCCAUCCUCAUGUUGCACUGUUCAAUUCUCUUGUGCUGGGAUGCCAACAAAUAAGCUUGACAAUGCUGAAGCUGCUAAUGGAUGAAUUGAUGUCCCAUCAUACUGAUCAAAUUACACAGCUCUUUUCGUUGUCCAUGGUAAAAUUAAUGUGUUAUCUAGACUGCAUAUUUCGCAAAGACUCAAUGCUUCUGCUUUUGUACAGUUUCUUGCACAAUGGAGUCCUGGGCUGGUUUUUUAUUUCAGGUGCUAGGUUAUUACAAGAAGUGCAUAUACUCCAUUAUUACAAAGAAUGGAUAAUAAGAACAGUGAAUAGAUUCAAAUUAAAAAUAACUGAAAGCAAAAGGAAAAUUGUAUUCUACAAAGCUGAAGGAGCAAAUGCUAAUGCGGUGGGAUUGACUAAACCUAACCAAUAGUGGAUGAUUAGAUUGUACCUCUAGCAAGGCACAUUUGCCAUGACUGUUUUGAGGAUAGUUUACUACCUUUGGUUGGAGAUGAAAAAUAAUUCUAUAUAUCAAUACCAGCAAGACUUUGUGAAAACAAAGGCUUGUUUUAUUUUUCAUGUGAAAAAUGUUGAUUUCACUGCAAUUUUAGAAACCCCAGAAUGCUUGAAUGUUCAAAGUUCUAAAAAGAUACAGGAUAAAGACAACAGUGCUGUCAUCAACCUCGCACAAAUUCAAAGGUUCUGGGAUUUACCUAGCUUCUCAAGAAAAUGGCAGUCUCAAAUGAACUAUGAAUACUUGCUUAUUUAAAAAAGGUAGAUUUGGAAGAGAUACAUCAGAAUUUUGUCUAAAACACUUAGCUAAAUUUCAGUUAUUGGCAGUCAGAAAAACCAUUAAUAUUUUUUGCUCAUUUCUGUGACUGGUGGUGAAAUAAUUAGUAAAGGCAAAGGUCGUUUUUGUUCUGGAAAAAAAUUACUUGCUGCCUUAAUUUUUUUCUGGUUUUCUGUAACAAAGAGCAUCCUUUAUUAUAUAUUGUGGUUUUGUGGUUUGAGCUCUGUUGCAAAUAGAACUUUUUGCAGUCCUGUAAAGUUCAGUUAAGUCUGAAGUGAAAGUUACUUUGGAACAUCUCUAACUUGCAUGAUUGCUCACAUAACGGAUCACCAAAGGACUUCCUGGUGCUGGAAUCUUCAUAGAAAGAAGGCAAGAUCUGUGCCACACUGGUAGUCCCACAGUCCAUCAGUUCAAAGCACAAGGAAACAAAUGGCAUCAGUCCCAGACGGAUUAAACCAGAAUGCCAAACAUGAAAGGAGGAACAUUUCUGAAGUUCACUUAUCUUACUAACACACUUUGCUUUGGAGAAGUGGACACUACUUUCAAAAGUUAAUAAGCUUUGGAUAAAGGACAUCUCACUUUGUGCCUAAGGAAUGCUCCGUUCCAAAUUUUACUCUGAACAAUCAGUGAGUCUUCACAGGGCAACAGUUGUACGCAGAAAGAUUCAGGACUCGAGUUUAUUCAUUAUUUCGUACUUCCGUGGAUAAUUUUUAAAUAAAAUCUUACAAUAAAAUAUGAGUUUUAGUACUUCCAAUGCCUUGUAAAAUACUCAGUUAUGGGAUCUGAGCAGUUGCUUUCUGAUUUUCUCCCUGGAAAAAUCUAUAUAGAAAUCGUGUAAACUAUAUUCAACAGCAAAUACAACACAGCCCUUGGAGACAUCAUGCAUAUAUGUUUCAUAAGGGAGAUCAAAUGAAUUAUUUGUACAACUGUAACAAAGCAAGGAAUUUUUUAGGCUAUGUAAAAAGUCUGUGCUCUUCGGGUGAUAUAAUUUCAGUGCUGGUACAUAUGCUAUGAUUUGAUGAAUUGCAAUAAUUACUAUGCGCAUUGUACUCUUCCCUUCUUGUUUUCACAUUUGCAGAUUUUUUUCUGUGAGGCUUACUAAUGGUUUGUGUUUUAACCAAUUUAAUACCUCUUUUCUUAAAGCAUUUAGAAGCAUUUGUUUAUAUAAAGAAAUUGCUGUUGAACAGGCAAAAGGAUCUAUUUUAAUAUUUUAGAAAUCAGCAAAAUAGUACUGAAGAAAAACAAAGCAUUACAUAUUGUGAGAAAUGGUACAACAGAGUAUCUUAUUUCAUAUAAAAUGUAUUAAGCAAUGGCAAUCAUUUUAGGCAAAUGUUUAUUUUUUAUUUGAUCACUAAGCAAGAGAGAGCUUCAUUCAUCUUCAUUUCUGCAUUUUUAAAUCCAUAUAAUUUAGUUCACACUCGAGAAUUAAGCUGAAUGUUAAUAAUUUUCCUUCGUGUAUUGUGAAAGGCAAAAUAUUUUUCUCUUUUUUUUCUGUUUUGUUUUGCUUCUGCUUCUGGCUUUGUAUAUAGUGAGGGAAGCAUGAUAUCAAAGAAGAUAUCAUCUACAACAAAAGUAGCAGUAGGAGAUGGUUGUAAUGCUCCUUUUCCCCUCAUGAAAGAAGAGAGGAAGACUUGGAAAGGGAGUGAAAGUGUAAAAGGAAGCAGUCGAAUUUGAAAGGGGGAAUUUAGAAAACUCUUUUUCAGAUAUGGUUUGACUAGAAUUACAAUUAAUAUUACUUAUUUUGUGGCACUCUUUUCCUUUCUAAAUUCUCUGUCCUUAGCUGUAAGAUUUGUACUCUAAUUGAAGUCAGAGGAGUCUUGCUUGUAUUAAAUAGUCUCUUGAACUCUUAGGAGUGCCACUGAAAUAAAACACCAACCCACACCAAUUUAUGAAACUGCAAUCCAGCAAAUUUCCUACAGUCUUUUUUAAUCUUAAAUACGAUUCUAUAGAAUAUAGUAAUAGAGUGCAUGAAGUAAAAAGUAUGCGUGUUGACAAACAUAGUUAAAUGCCGUGCAUUUCACCCAGACCAUCAAGAAAAUUUUCCAAGACGACACAAGUGGGAGAGUAGGCACAAUUCUAUAAAAGUGUAACCUGUGCUACCUAUAGCAGGAGAUAUAUACACUAGCAAGAAUUAGUGAUCUAGUCCUGGGGGUAUUAAACAAUCUCAAAUUUUAUUUAAGUUCAUGAGAACCCUAGGUGCUUGAACCUCCAUGAAGCAUGCCCUAGACAACAAGCUAAGAAUUUAAUCUCAUAAGAAACCAGAAACAAUGAAUAUUAACCUUACAGAAAUGACAACAUCACUGGGAGGUUUUUUACAUUAGAGCUGGGUGAAAAUUUGCUGAAAAUUAUCCACAGAUACUAACUUUAUUUCUCUUUGUAAGCUGUCCACAAAGAGAUAGUAACAUUGUAAAAUUCUCAGCAGUACUUCUUAUUCAAAAUUAGCCACACACUUCUCCAGUGAAUUUUCUCUUCAAAAUCUGCUUUUGCUGAAUAUUUGAACUAGCAUUCACUUUUUCAUGAGUUAUUCAUACUAAUAAAGCUUGAGCACUCAAGUGUUCCUGGAAAGCAAAUGUGAAAGCAUUGCAAACAUGGUCUAAUUGAAAUCCACUUUCCACUUUGAGCAAAUAUUCGCAGAACAUUUUUCCUAGUAUUUACUUCACUUUAGUUGACAUUAUGGGCUAAAAUCUCACUGAUGUGCACUAAAGAAAGACGUCAGAGCAGAAACCUCUUCAAUAAUGCAGGUGCAAUAUUCCUGGAAGAGGCAGGUCUGUUGAACAGGCAUAGCAUGAUUUAACCUGCUCUGUACUUUCAUUUUGUUCAGAAGACAGCCUUAAAGGAGACUGUUCAACAGCUAAGUGAGCUCCCUUUAUUGUUUAACCACACAUUAAAAUGUAAGAACCCAUGUUGUACCUCACUCUAAGCUCCCCUUCAGCAUUAAUCAAUAAUGUUAUUCAUCUAGCUUCUUUCAUAAUCACCAGUGAUCAACUUAUUGCUGGUGUUUAAGAUAAGCUUCUUCAACAUAUUUGUUGCUGACAUGAGAGGACAAAACACAGGGAGUGACCAGUGGUGUAACUUGUCUUACAUUUGUGAUAGAUAGAUAGAUAGAUAGAUAGAUAGAUAGAUGAAGCUAUUCCCCCUGAAACAUCUUGCUCUAUGGAAAUAGGCAAAAUUCUUCAGUCCGAUCCAUCCAAACUUCCUAUACAGACAUGUUUCAGUGCAUUAGGAACCUCAUCCUUUCUUGGAAUAUGAUGAGGUCUAUAGAGCAACAGGAGCCUCCAGAGGGCAAUUCUGAUCUUGGUUGACCAGAACUACUUCUGGAUGUGCUCAUCUUUCCCCAUCAAGGAGAAGCAGGCCUUUCAGUGACAUAAUGUUCAAUGGAUGUGCCUCAGAAAAGUGUUGGUGUUGGGGGGGAAAAAUUCAAAUCCUAUUGUCUCCAGUGUCAAUAUGUAAGAAUUUCCACAGUCCUGUUAUCACACUCCCUUGUAAAAUUAUCUUCUUUGUAUCCUCUUUAAGAUGCACUGGUCUAGUGAGAAUCACUCAUUCAUGCCAGCAACUCCCUGAGACUUUGAUUGCCUUUUAAGUUCACCUCCUCUUAUUUACUCAUUCAUUACAGACUGUUAAGUGAAGCACUGAAAGGGGUAAGAGAUAUUAUGUCUCCUACAGAACUCUCAGAGGAAGAAAACUUCAAGAAAGUUUGUUGUAAGUUGUCUUUAUAUCUCUCACUGUGAAGGCUGCAUUGCUAAUGUCACAAAGCCUAUUGACAGUUUUUGGAGGAUUUUUUUGUAAACCUAGUGAACACCACCUUUGUGCAUGGCCCCUCUGGGUCACAGCUCAGCCAUUUAGAUGAGUGUCCUUAUGUCUACCAAGAUUUGUACUGUACACAAAUUGAAGCCACUGGCUGAUAUGAAACAAAUAGAAAGUAUUUUCCCCAUAAUCCUCAACACAAUACACAAUCUUUGCAUACAGAACAGAUAAUUGUAACAUAUGCAAUUCACCCUUAUUGUUGUACAAAUUUGUAGCUACCUAAACUUUUUUAUUGGUACAUACAUACUGUCACUCCAACUAUAUCCAUUGGCUACAUGCAGAUAAUAAAAUUAUCUCUACUGCAAUAGUUCUUCUUUCAAUAUGACGUAUCUUAUUGCAAUAAAUUUUCUUUAACAAGGUUGCAAGACAUGAAGUCAGCUUUCUCUCUAGCUGUUUUUUGUCUUUUGGGUUCUAAGUAUUCAGUCCUUAAAAAAUAGUUUCCUACAUACUAAAUACUGUCACCCAGUCAUUUUCAUAUAGUUAAAUAAAGCACUAUAGCUUGGAUUUUAGGUCCAAUGGCCACACCAUGAGAAUACAAUUCAUUCACUAAUUAAAUGCCCACUACCUCCAUCAGUAGUGCCUGCCAACUCCAAAUUUAUAUUGCAAAGAACUUUCAUUUUAUAUGAUGCAUAGAAAAGAAGAAGAAGGCGGGGGAAAGAAGACCAAGACUAUUAAUAUGUAAAAAAUUACCUCUUUAAGGUCAGGAGCACCUCAAACACAGUCACUAGAAAUGGAAAGGAGACUCUUAGGUUUAUAAUAAUAUUCUAAUGAUAUAAACAAUAGCUCUGAGUUUCCCUAGGUAUCACAAAUAGCUAGUUGACAUGCUUUUGUUGCUACUCUGUGACUACUGGUUUAUUGCCCUAUUGCAUGGGGGCAGAAAGGCAUGUCAAUUUUAUGUGGCUUAUUGUCAAAGUUCAUAAAGCUAGAUUAGGCUGAGUUCUUGUUAUGCUUGCUCCUUCCGUGCAGCAGAACUACAUACUAUUUUUCCUGGACAUAAGUGUGAAAAUUAGUAUGAAUAUUUAUUUUAAGACUGGUUCAGGUUCAGCUUCCCUUCAUCUCUAGUAUUUCUACAUAUUCAUACACACACCUUAUUUAGUUACAUUUUUUAGGGGUUAUUUUUAUAUUUUUAAUUGUUCGGUAGACUUAGGAUAUGUAACAAUGGAUAACCACGCAAUACAUUAAAUACUUAUGGGUAUAUUGUGCCUUCUGUUAUAAUAUAAAAUCCAUCUAUUCUGGUUGAUGGGUUUUAACCUCACACAGAAUACUUUAAACUCCAUUUGGACUUGUGCCUACAAUCACCUUAGCAAAGUCUCUUAAGUAACUGCGCACAGCCUAAUUAGUAUGCAUUAUCAAUUAACAAACUUAAUAGCCGGCAGAUUGAUUAGAUCCUCUGUUGCAGGGGCAGAGCUGAAGCGAAACAGAAUGAAAAAUCAUUGCACGCAUACACUGCUGCUUUGUUAUUUUCUCAGAUCCCCUCCUCCUCCUCCACAUUCCUUUAAUUAAUGCAUACAUAUGGUUCUGAAUAUCUUGUAAACUGGAGCUUGCUCUAACUCUUUAAUAAAACUCACUGGUAGAUGAGAGAGCCAUAGUCCAUGCCUUAUUUAUUUCUGGCUGAAAACAUAAACCAUUUGAUUUCACCCAGGUCUUUCCUCUCUAAGUGGUGCAAGUUUUAGAGAUUUGCUGCUUCUAAGCUGCUUGUUUUCACAGUGACUGAUAGAGAAAAACAGGUAAGUUGGAGCUGUGUACAUCACUUCAAAUAACCCUUAGCUGAGAAGAUGUUUCAGGCAUCAUACUCACGGUAUGCUGACACAUACCACAAGGUGGAUGCCAUAAUUACUGUCAUAAAAAAAAAGCAUAGCACAAAAGAAGGCAUGUAAUCUUAUAAAUUCUGUUAUAUUGAUGAGCUGGAAAAUAAGCAUACAGGAAGAAAAGCCAUCCUAUUUUGAAAGUAGGAAUCAUACUAAAAAAUUUCACUGUCAGUUUUAGAUAAAAUGCUGGUGUUAGACAGGAUUUGUGUCCUUUGAUGCAAACCCUCAAAGACUACUGAAAACAACACUGAAGACUAUCAGGUGCUGCCUUGCAGUGGUGGCAGGCUCUAUCCUUGGGCAAAUUGGCCUUUGUACACUGAGAAAGAAAGUGGUUCUUACUACAGUGAUGUGAGCAGUAGCAGCAAGUUUCAGAGUUAAUAUCUAUUUAGCAUUUAUAUAGCAUUUACAUAUGCAAAUCACUGAAGAAAUAUUAGCUAAUUAAUCCAGGUCAGGUCAUGUAAAAGUAUCCAUGAGAGUUGAUACUGAUAAAUCCAAUAGAGGUGGAACUCUACUUUCCCAAAGGCCUAACACAUGCUGUUGUCAGGACCUAAAUCAGUGCUUGGGGGUCCCUGAUUCCCACAUCUGCACUCCUCAGUGAGGUUGUGCUACCACAAUUGUUACCAUAUUCCUAACCAGAGUCACAAACCCUGGCUGAGGUUGGAAGUGACCUCUGGAUGGACUGGUCCAAGCCUCCUGCUCAGGUGAUAUCAGUUACCUGAAGGUAAAAUUUCUUGAAGAAUGGCUGCUCCUCUGAGCCCUCUGAUGAGCCAUAUCUGAAGAAGUGGGUGGCUAUAACCUCAUCUUGAUAUAAAGGCACUGACAGACUGAACUCUCUAGCUGAGAAAAGAGGAACAAUUGACGGUCGUGUGCCAAACUGUGUUUUUCUUUUCUAAGUAAGAAGUUAAGCAUACUGAUACAAACUCAGUAAAAUACUCUGCAGUAUCUUGCAAAAGGAAAGGUGGUGCUUAUCACUGGAUUGAGACACUCUUUGUCAAAAAAAACCAGAAGCUUGCAGACCCUGCUGAGUUCAGGACUCUCUUGACAAUGGGAGAUUUGUCUUGCUGGCACCUGAGAGUUCCUGCUAUUCCACUGUUCCUUUGCAAGCCAUUCAAAGACUUUCCAUGUGUGUUUUUCACUCCAAUACCAUUGGCUUCUCUAGCCCAUAACUUUUUUCUUUUUAAGCGUGUUCUCCUAAACAAAAAACAUAAGGCAUAUGGAAGCAGCAUGCUCUAUACUGUCUUUGUAGUCUAUUACUAUGCCUUAGCAUACCUUUUUUUCCCCAUCCCCAAAAAGGCAAACACAAAGAGUUAGCAACUAUUUUUACCCUGAGCUGAAAACAAAUAUAGGCAAUUUAAAUAAAACAAACUUAAGUGGAGCUAGAGACUAUCCUCUCAGGUCCUGCUGAUGUCACUUGUGCUUUACAUAAAGCAUCACACACAGUAUUAUCUACUACCUUCUCUAACACAAUUAAUUAAACUAUUUCCACUGCUA